UCAGGCUUGCUGUCACACAUCUGUA
rnacentral:piRNA from 1 species